GCAUUUGGAAGUCCACGGAAAGGGAAGCUUGACCCCGGUUCGGGGCGGUUUUCACAGGGAAGAAAAACACACCCCGGAUGGUCGGGCACGUAAGCCCCGUCUCGUCCUCCAGAUAUCGGCCGCCACCUUCACCUCCACCGCCCCGGCGCACGUGCGCGUCUCCAUCGUCGCCGCCUCUCCUCCUUCGGACACGACUGACCUUCCACUGGCGCCGACGAAGAAGACACAUAGGAAGAAGCUCACCGCCAAACCUCAUCCAGAUCCAGUCGCUACCCUCCGAAAGCCGCAUACGGAACGUCUCGUCUCUUCCUUUGGAUCCGGCAGCCGGUGCUCCUCCUCCGGAUCCGGUGGUCAACUCCAUCACCCCCAGCUCCACCUCCCUUAGUCCCCCUCCAUCCGCCCUCACCCACCGCUUCUAUAUCGCCACCUCUCUCGUUGUAGAAGACACUGAGGAUCUGGCCAUCAUCAUCCGUCGCCCCUCACUCGAUUUCCCAUCUGCCGCUCCCUCCUGGUCUCUGAGCCGCUGAUCGGGUCUCCGACGCAGGGAAGUGAAGCCGUUCCGCCGUGAAGCAGCGCCACCCCUUGCCAUCCGCCCGACCGCUGGGAAGCAGGGCCCACGUCUCCAAGCUUCCUACAGGAAGAGCCUGCGCCCCUCCCAAAGGACAAAGAUAUUAGGAUGGAUGAAGUCACACAAGCUGUUGAAAAUCUGAAGAAAGAAUGGAGCCAAGCUGUUUCACAGCUUGAGGAGAGCAUUGCUGCAAUUGAAUCAUGUGGAAAAACAGGGAAAGGAACAGAGGAAGCAACUUCUCUUCCAAGGUUGAAUGGUUCUGCACAGGAUGCUCUGCAGUUGCUCAAGUCCCUGCAGUUCCGGCUUGAUCUUCUAGCUCAGCAGCUACCUACUUUUGAUGAAGUGCAGUCUGGGCAAGCAACCUUAGGGUCGUGGGAUGAACAAUACAAGAAGUUGCGUGCUAGCCUGAGGAAUGCUAACUUACAAGCGAAAGAGAACAUUAGAAAAGCUGCUCAGGAGGAGAGGGAGCUUCUUCUAGGGGGUGGAGAAGAGUCAACAAUCCGUAGGCGUAAUCUCCAGACAAAGGUUGGGAUGACAUCUGCUGCUGAAAGUAUCACCGAGAGCCUCCGACGGUCUCGCCAGAUGAUGGUUCAGGAAGUGGAAAGGAGUGCAAGUACCUUGGCAACAUUUGAUGAAUCAACAAGUGUUCUCCGGAAGGCUGAAGGUGAAUAUCAAGGACACCGCUCUUUGCUAAUGCGUACCCGUGGUUUGCUCUCCACGAUGCAACAGCAAGAUGUUCUUGAUAGGAUCAUCCUGACCAUCGGCUUUAUCAUUUUCUCCUUGGCGGUUCUUUAUGUUGUCUCAAGACGUAUUGGUCUAUUGACGCUGCAAAGGAAACUGGCCGAUGCCAUCAGAUCCGGUUCAUUAUCAGCCGAUGACAUCGUAGCGAAUGCCCAACGUGGACCUGCCCCAGCAAAUGUUCCUGCUCCCAUCUACGAUGAACUGUGAUUCGUUUGUCCUCUGUAUUGUUAAGGGCCACUCAAAGGGCUGCCGUCUGCAGCGCUGACGACCGCGGCGUCGGAGACUAGCGUGCAUCCCGUCUCCUCGUCUGCUCUGUUCGUCUCCACAGCUUGUACAGGUCGCUGAAACACUUGGAACAAACAGAGCUUGCUUCUGAAGCCCUACACCUCUGAAGGAUCAGGUAUCAUCAACGAAUGUAUCAAGUAAAUUUACCUGACACUCCUCGACAUCGACGAAACAUCUUCUGAUCAGUUCAUUCCUAACUAUUAAAGGAAGUUUACGCUCUUCCAUCUACUGCAAAAUUCAAUUGGAAGGAUAUCUAUUGUAGAAUUAAUUUAGAAAGACUGCAUGUACUUCUAGAAUAGGUACGAGUUUUUAUUUCAGACAACACACUCACUUCUAUGUUUCUUCAAUGUGUUACUCAACUAAACAUACCAAGAAAAAAUGAUGAUAUUGCCAUAUAUUUAUGUA